AGUUUGAUCCUGGCUCAGAAGGAACGCUGGCAGCGUGCAUAACACAUGCAAGUCGAACGAUGAAACAUUCUUCGGAAUGUGGAAGAGUGGCGAACGGGUGAGGAACACGUAAGAAUCUGCCCCUCGGUCGGGGACAACUCUUGGAAACGAGAGCUAAUACCCGAUACGCUGUGGAGUGAAAGAAUUUCGCCGAGGGAUGAUCUUGCGUCUGAUUAGCUAGUUGGUGUGGUAAUGGCAUACCAAGGCGACGAUCAGUAGCUGGUCUGAGAGGAUGAACAGCCACAUUGGAACUGAGACACGGUCCAAACUCCUACGGGAGGCAGCAGUGGGGAAUUUUCCGCAAUGGACGAAAGUCUGACGGAGCGACGCUGCGUGAAGGAUGACGGCCUGCGGGUUGUAAACUUCUUUUCUCGAAGAAGAAGCUCUGACGGUAUUCGAGGAAUAAGCAUCGGCUAACUCCGUGCCAGCAGCCGCGGUAAUACGGAGGGGGCGAGCGUUGUCCGGAUUUAUUGGGCGUAAAGAGCUCGUAGGCGGUUCAACAAGUCGGUAGUAAAAGCUCAGGGCUCAACCCUGAAAUGUCUAUCGAUACUGUUGUGACUAGGAUACGGCAGAGGUGAGUGGAAUUCCGAGUGUAGCGGUGAAAUGCGUAGAUAUUCGGAGGAACACCAAUUGCGAAGGCAGCUCACUGGGCCGCUAUCGACGCUGAGGAGCGAAAGCUAGGGGAGCAAACAGGGAUUAGAUACCCUGGUAGUCCCUAGCUGUAAACGAUGGAUACUAGACGUAGGAACUGGAUUGACGGUUUCUGUGUCGUAGCUAACGCGUUAAGUAUCCCGCCUGGGGAGUACGGUCGCAAGACUAAAACUCAAAGGAAUUGACGGGACCCCGCACAAGCGGCGGAGCAUGCGGCUUAAUUCGAUGAUACCCGUAGAACCUUACCUGGACUUGACAUAUAGGGUCAAGCUAUAGAGAUAUAGUGUGCAUUAGCGCCCUAUACAGGUGGUGCAUGGCUGUCGUCAGCUCGUGCCGUGAGAUGUUGGGUUAAGUCCCGCAACGAGCGCAACCCCUGUCCUAUGUUGCCAGCAUUUAGUUGGGGACUCAUAGGAGACUGCCGGUGAUAAACCGGAGGAAGGUGGGGAUGACGUCAAGUCAUCAUGCCCCUUAUGUCCAGGGCUGCACGCAUGCUACAAUGGCAAGUACAACGAGUCGCAAUACCGCGAGGUGGAGCAAAUCUCUUAAAGCUCGUCCCAGUUCGGAUAGGGGUCUGCAACUCGACUCCUUGAAGUUGGAGUCGCUAGUAAUCGCAAAUCAGCAAAGUUGCGGUGAAUACGUUCUCGGGGUUUGUACACACCGCCCGUCAAGUCACGGAAGUCGGCAAUACCCGAAGCCAGUGGUCCAACCCUUUUAGGGAGGAAGCUGUCGAAGGUAGGGUCGGUAACUGGGACUAAGUCGUAACAAGGUAACC
rnacentral:rRNA from 1 species